rnacentral:misc_RNA from 1 species
UGGUUCUGGCAUNGAUGAAGAACGCAGCGAAAUGCGAUAAGUAAUGUGAAUUGCAGAAUUCAGUGAAUCAUCGAAUCUUUGAACGCACAUUGCGCCCAUUAGUAUUCUAGUGGGCAUGCCUAUUCGAGCGUCAUUACAACCCUUAAGCCCCUGUUGCUUAGCGUUGGGACUCUACGGCUUCGGGCGUAGUUCCUUAAAUUUAGUGGCGGAGUCACAGCACACUCUGAGCGUAGUAACAUACCUCGCUUCUGAGCUGCGGUGGCUGCUCGCCGUAAAACCCCCUAUACUUCUAGUGGUUGACCUCGGAUUAGGUAGGAAUACCCGCUGA